CCUACGGGUGGCAGCAGUGAGGAAUAUUGGUCAAUGGACGAGAGUCUGAACCAGCCAAGCAGCGUGAAGGAUGACUGCCCUAUGGGUUGUAAACUUCUUUUAUACGGGGAUAAAAUGUUCCACGUGUGGGGUGUUGUAUGUACCAUAUGAAUAAGGAUCGGCUAACUCCGUGCCAGCAGCCGCGGUAAUACGGAGGAUCCGAGCGUUAUCCGGAUUUAUUGGGUUUAAAGGGUGCGUAGGUGGAUUGUUAAGUCAGUUGUGAAAGUUUGGGGCUCAACCGUAAGAUUGCCGUUGAAACUGGCAGUCUUGAGUACAGUAGAGGUAGGCGGAAUUCGUGGUGUAGCGGUGAAAUGCUUAGAUAUCACGCAGAACUCUGAUUGCGAAGGCAGCUCACUGGACUGCAACUGACACUGAGGCACGAAAGUGUGGGUAUCAAACAGGAUUAGAUACCCCAGUAGUC
rnacentral:rRNA from 1 species